GACGAACGCUGGCGGCGUGCUUAACACAUGCGAGUCGAACGGAAAGGCCCUGCUUGCCGGGUGCUCGAGUGGCGAACGGGUGAGUAACACGUGGGUGAUCUGCCCCUUACUUUGGGAUAAGCCUGGGAAACUGGGUCUAAUACUGGAUAGGACCAUGCUGUAGGUGGUGUGGUGGAAAGAUUAGUUUCGGUAAGGGAUGAGCUCGCGGCCUAUCAGCUUGUUGGUGGGGUAAUGGCCUACCAAGGCGUCGACGGGUAGCCGGCCUGAGAGGGUGGACGGCCACAUUGGGACUGAGAGACGGCCCAGACGCCUACGGGAGGCAGCAGUGGGGAAUAGUGCACAAUGGGCGCAAGCCUGAUGCAGCGACGCCGCGUGGGGGAUGACGGCCUUCGGGUUGUAAACUCCUUUCAGCCAUGACGAAGCCCUUGUGGUGACGGUAGUGGUAGAAGAAGCACCGGCUAACUACGUG
rnacentral:rRNA from 1 species